CAAUGUAGUGUAAUAAUGUAAUACAACUAAUAGAUGAAAGAGUGAAGAAAUUAUCAUAUUUUAGAAGAUCUUAUUUCAAAAUAUUAUAAAAAAAUUAUUUUAAAAAUAUAAAUAAUAGUUAAAUGAUAGCAAACUAAAAAUAUAAAUACUGUAUUUUUAUAAAAUAGGCUUCUAUUUAUUUUGUAGAACCAUAAAUAAGGAAAAAUAAAAUCGAUUAAAAAAAUAAAGAAUAUAAGCAUAUAUAGGAAGGAAUUAGGAGUUGAUUUUAGCAGAAAUUACCUCGAGAAGACAAAACUUGAUACUUGGAGAGGACUAAUUUUCAACCUAGAUCAAAAUCAGAUCCCAAGACAUAAUAUUGCACAUCUGUAGCAACUUCAAGAUUCUUUUACAAAUCUAAAAGUAAAUUUUGAAAGAAGACUUUAUAGAAUUUUUUAAAGAAUUAAUUUCAAGUGAUUUGAGUUUAUAAUGACUUUGUGAGAGCUUUGCAAAAUCAAGGUUAUUUUAGAUGAUUCUAGAUUUUAU
rnacentral:lncRNA from 1 species